UCAUCAUCAUCAAAUACAAUUUUUCAUGCAUGUCUGAGAAAUCCUUCGAUCUCCUGUGGCAACCAUUCAGCUGUGCAAAAUAGCUGGGUGGGCUUAGCUGCACCUUCAAGGCGUAGCUCCUCCUCCAGCUUUGGAGCUUCCAUCUCACAGAGCAGCCUUCACCCACAACUGUGUGUUAGGGUGACCUAUGACCCCCCACAAGUGGUGGACAAUGUCUCCCACCCCAUGCAUGAAGCUGUUGCUGAACUCCAGGAUGCUGCAUCCUCAGUGCACUAAGCAGCCUUAUCAGAUAUCCUUCCUCCCAGCAGCUGUUACAGCAGUUGUCACGGCUCCCAACAAGCUCAAUAAGUGUUUACAUACAAGCUGGUAUUUGCACUGUUCGAUUUUUUUGUUUUGUUUUUGAUUUGCAAGUUUUUUUUUCAAACUUUCAAAUUUUCAACAUUUGGAGCACAGAAAUUCUCUUUUCCAGAAAAUUUCAGCGAUUAAUCUCAAAAUUCCUUAACCUAGUUUAGCUGAAACUGACUCCUUCUUUUAUUUCUAUACCUACAAUACACCAUGGAUUAAAGCAAAAACCUACCAAACAGGUUUCUGCCAUUUCAAUGUGCGAAACAGCCGACUGUUGGGGAAACAGGAGAAAAAGGGGAAACGGCAACGAGAAACUCGCUUUUCAGCUGGAGGACAAAACUACAAUGAUUUCUUCCAAACAAGAAGGGGCGGCGAGCUGGCUACUGAUCAACACCUGGAGUUUUCCACUGUCCUAUAUCAAAGGCAUCCAUCUUCAUUAACAGGCAGCAGAUGCGCAGGGUUGUGGAAGGCUCCGGGAACGAAACGGAGCAACAGCAAGAAUCCAAUUUCAGUGAUUAAAACCAGAAACAUGUCGGAGACGAGCAGAGAGCGUUAACGGCGGGAGAAGUUCGA